rnacentral:rRNA from 1 species
GACGAACGCUGGCGGCGUGCUUAACACAUGCAAGUCGAACGGAAAGGCCCCCUUGUGGGGUACUCGAGUGGCGAACGGGUGAGUAACACGUGAGUAACCUACCCUUGACUUUGGGAUAACUUCAGGAAACUGGGGCUAAUACCGGAUAGGAGCUCCUGCUGCAUGGUGGGGGUUGGAAAGUUUUGGCGGUUGGGGAUGGACUCGCGGCUUAUCAGCUUGUUGGUGGGGUAGUGGCUCACCAAGGCUUUGACGGGUAGCCGGCCUGAGAGGGUGACCGGCCACAUUGGGACUGAGAUACGGCCCAGACUCCUACGGGAGGCGGCAGUGGGGAAUAUUGCACAAUGGGCGGAAGCCUGAUGCAGCAACGCCGCGUGCGGGAUGACGGCCUUCGGGUUGUAAACCGCUUUCGCCUGUGACGAAGCGUGAGUGACGGUAAUGGGUAAAGAAGCACCGGCUAACUACGUG